GUAGUAAUCACCUUUUCGUUCUUUUAGUUUUCUACUUCAUUUCUUAUCAUAUCUAUAUGCUCAAUUUUGAAUGUAUGUGACCUCUUUCUCAAGGUUAUGGCAUUGAUGAUAAAUGUGACAUAUCUAUCAUUGAUGGCCAUUGUUAAUUACCUGCUUGGUUGGUUUGCAUUACGGUCACAUCAUUAACCAUUUUAAGGUCAUCAGAAUAGAGUUCUGCACUAGACUAUGUCAUCCACGUCUGUCGUAGUCUAGGCCUCGCCUUGGACUUAUUUGGUAAGGGACUUGUUCAUAAUUUUCUUGUAUAUAGUAGCAACCGUCAAAGUCGCUGUGUUGUGUUUGUUUCUAAACUAUCUACUUCCAUGUUUUCAGAUAUGCAUAUAAACAAGGCUCUCUACACAUUCAGUGGAACAUGUGUAUGGCAGCUGGUUCUGCCGACAUUAUCUUUGCUGGAAUUUACAUAAUGGUUGAUGUUUGUGGCUACCGGCAUCCAACUAUUGUGUUGGAGUGGAUGGGGAAGCAUGCACUGGCAAUUUUUGUUCUGUAGCUUGCAAUCUCUUGCCGGUUAUUCUCCAUGGAUUCUAUUGGGGCAAACCUCAUAAUAACAUUCUCACCUGAAUUGGAAUUGGAAAAUGAACUGAUGGAGGCUAGUUGCUUGAGUUAUACAAGUUUGAGUUCGACUAAUUUUGUUGCAUUUGGAGACGAAGAGAGACAAUUUGGAGUUUGGUCUUUUUGUAGAGGCGGCAUCACAUUCUCUCCCUCUUACUCUCUUCCAUGUAUUCAUAGUGCUCCUUUUUGGCAAUAUUGUCUAAUACAUUUCAGUACAAUUAUGUGGAUUAUAACAAUAUUAGAUAUAUAUUGGUAAUUACUGUUCAUUUGGUGAUUUUUGAUUUCAUUUUCUGCUGUACGUACACAAUGUUCACAACAGCCAUACAAUAAAAACUGUUGUGU